rnacentral:snRNA from 1 species
GGAUGUGAGGGUCAAUUGGCUGCAACAUCUGUCACCCCACUGAUUGCCAGGGUUGAUUUGGCUCUCUCGGUGGGUGUCCCCUUCCUCCCUCACAGCUCCAUGUGAGUCCCUCCUGAAGCCACACAUUCAGUGGAAGAGGACAACCUUCCUUGAUAAAGGAAGAAAUGUUCUUAAGUUAAGGGUAUGGGAGUAGGUGCUGGAACCCCCCCCCCCCAAACAAACCAACAGAAACAUGUGAAGCCUCCAAAUGCCUCAUGCCUGCUUUUCUCU